AGCACACAACUUGUGGUGGCGCGACAGGAGGAGAGACGCACGUCUUGCAGCCCCGGGUGCCAAGAAAACCCCUCUCCUCCUUCCUAGAUACACUCAGGAGGUUAUAGUGGCUUCGUUUCUCCACGUCUUUCCAAAAUACAGAACACACACACGCAAAAUCUGGCAAACGGUUUGAAUAAAUUAGAAAUGUUUUCUGCUAACCCUAACCUUCCCUUACCUUAGACAUAAAGCUGUAAGGUAUUGCUGUAUGUUUUAUAAGCUUAUUCCUGAAAACGUGGCUUUAGGUAAUAAGGAGGAAUGUCAAAGCAUAAGUAGGGGAAACAAUGAGAAAUAUAGGGGGUGGAAGGUUGCUGCUCUUUCUCCCCUUAAUGUUCCUUUUCAGCCUAUUAUGUCAAUAAUAACAAUGAUAACAACAACAAUAGCAACAAUCCAGUCUGUUGUGUGUUCCUCUUGCAAAUGUUUUAUCUGGAGAGCAGAAAUCGAAGCGUUUAGAUUUUGUUGCAGUACUCCAGCUGAGAAAAUUAAACCCUAAUACAUUCGAAAAGAAAAGAACAAGGAUCUCCGAAGUUUUUUUUAAUGACCUUUCCGUGCAUAAUUUCGGAGGUAACCUAGCUGCAUAAUUAUAUUUGCACUUACAGAACGCUGCAUCACAGUUCCCUUAUUGGUUUGAAAUUCCAUUAAAUAUAUUGCAGGAGCUCCUAGGUUAAGCUUGAUUUAAAUUUGCAUACAUUUUCAUAUAUUUAGCAGAAAUAAAAGAAGGGCUUGCAGCUACCCGAAAGUCAUUAAGGCAUUAAGUUCUCCAGGAAGACAGAUCUGGAGAAAAAUUCAAGAAAAUGAAAAUAUCGCCCUAAACAAGGAUCAAAGGAAGACACCUUACACUGAAUCAGAUUAUUGGCCCAUCUAGCUCAGUAUUGUCUACAUUGACUGCCAGCUGCUGUUCAGGGCUCCAUGGAAAUACUGGGGAUUGAAAUUGGGACCUUCUGAAUGCAAAGAAGACCUCCUAUCAUUGAGCUAUGGUCCUUCCUGGAUAGGCCACAAUCUCCAUACUGCUGACACAGUAACUAGCUCUGAGGAAAAGGCAAGGAAGGCCCAAGGAAGUUUGCUGUUCAAUAAAGGAUGCUGGGUUGCUUGGCAACCAAUCGUUAGGCCCAAUGGUGCAACCAGCCAGCCAGGCAUUCCAAACUGGCUGCUUCCAUCGCCUUAUGUCCUAACACA